GAAAGACACAAGCUGGCUGUGGUUGACUUAAUUAAUUUGGAAAUACCGUGCUAACGCGUGACGCUGGGAACCUGUCGGGGGGAGCUGGUUUUACACCUAUUCUGGUCUACUGUUCUACAAUUCCUCCAUCUGUUACUACUACCACUACUUCAUUGGACCACCGUCUAAAGAGUGCAUCACGUCGCUGACCAGUGAACAGCCUUCUGCUGCCAGUGACCAAGACUCAAAGACUCCACUCACACCACAACCCAACAGAGAGAAGACACUUCACCUGGGGGCCUGUAGGAUAAAGCUUGAAGAAAAGAGGGGAAAAAAACAAGCUCAAGUAAAAAAACAGGCCAAAAAAAUCUUCUGCCUCCCACUUAAAAAAAAAAGAAAAAAAAUGGAAAAAAGGUUCAGAAGGUUCUGCCUCCCCCUUCAUAUCCUCUCUUGACAUUUAGGAUCCUUUUAGCCGCUCUCCAUGUCUAGAAACUGUCCCGAUCAUGCCGUCUUGGACUGCUGAAGUGCCUUUCGUCCAAUAGAUCUUGGACUGCUGCUACUGUGGGUGGGGGAGUUCUGGACUUGGACUGUGCGUUGUUCCUGACUGCAAUUGGGUGUUGUGCCUUCAGUCGACUUCGAGUAUGAGUACUGCAGUGAAUGUUUUCCUCUGCAUCCUAGUGACACUGUCUCUUGCUUGUAACGCAGGGUCUUUUACUGGCUUUGUUGACCAUUGAAGGAACUGUGCACCGUUGUGCUUUCAGAUAGGUCUUCGGGACUAGCCUGAUGAUGUCUGCAAUGUUCAGAGAACCUGGAUCACCAAUGUCAGUCAGUAGAGUAGAGGAGAGUAGAGUAGAGUAGAGAAGAGUAGUAGAGGCUUGGCUAAAGUUAGUGGUUCUGGGCGGCGGAGGCAUUGUCAUGCGCAGGGCCUGUCCUGAUGCCUGGAUGGAGGUUCCCGCAGUGCGGUCCGGUCCGCGGUUCCUUCGGCUACCUUGGGGUGGGUGGACAACCAGGUCAGUGGAAUGCCUUGCUGCGCAGGUGGGAGGUGGUCUCGCUGUGCGGAGGAGGGCAUUCACUGCAGUGCUCGUCCGGGCUCAGCGGGGGGCAAGGCACCCGGUUGCAGUCUGGGGCGGCGCGUGGGCCGGCUCCGGGCUCCACUGCCAACAGUGGCAGCGGUCCAAGAACUGUUGAACGAAGGGUGCUUCAGUCGUCUGGGAAGGCUGGUUAGGGUAGUUGCAUGGACAUGGAAACCGGCUGAGGGAUUCCUGAGUGUCGGGAGGGGAAUGGGGGCAGUGCCACGCCCGGCCGCAGAUGGGAGGUGGGACAACCAGGACCUCACAGACCCACAGACCCACAGACAGGGUUGGCUGCAGCAGCGUACGCAUGUACACCAGACCUCAGAAGGGAGGUGGGACAGCCAUGAUCUCCUGGAUGCACAGGAGGGAGGGGACUUCAGGGCUUCGUCGGGAGUGUAGGCACCACUGGACCACAGGAGCCAGGCGAAUCACCAGGCCCUGCAGGUGAUCCAGGGCCUAAAGGCGCACAGGGAGCCAAAGGGGUCGAAGGAGAAGAGGGACCCGCAGGACAACAGGAGAGCCAGGGGAGAGGGGAAACGGUGGAUUCCCAGGCGCUCAAGGACCCAGUGGACAGAGGAUGUUCUACACUGGAGCUGGAAUGAACCCUGUCAGAUCUUUCAUCCUGCUACGUUCAAGAGGAACUUCAUGAACCACUGGGUAAGAAAAAUAUGUAAAAUAUAUAAAACAUGCUCAUAGUCUCGCAUUGUUUGUAAACUACUUUCAAUUCAGAUAUAAUAGAUGUAAUAGUGUUGCAUUGUUUUGGUCUUUUAUAGAAUGUGCAAUGCACUGCAUGUAUUUCUCAACUGCUAUGUAACUAUAAUAUGGUUUCUGUUCUUCCCUCCUCGUGCCUGCGCCCAUCCGUGCGUUCGUUCGUGCCUGCGUGCGUCCGUGUCUCCGUCCAGCCGUCUGUGCGUGCAUCCGUCUCUGCAUCCGUGCCUUCGUCUGGCCGGCCGUGCGUCCGUCUGUGCCCACGUCUGGCCGGCUGUGCGUCCGUCCGUGCGUCAGUCGGUCUGUGCGUGCGUCCGUCUGUGCCCACGUCCGUGCCACUGUCUGGCCGGCCGUGCGUCCGUCUGUCUGUGCGUCCGUGCCUACGUUUGGCCGGACGUGCUUCCGUCUGUGCGUCCGUGCCUACGUUUGGCCGGACGUGCAUCCGUCUGUGCCCACGUCCGUGCCUCCGUCUGGCCGGCUGUGCGUGCGUCCGUCCGUCCGUCCGUGCGUCAGUCGGUCUGUGCGUCCGUGCCUACGUCUGGCCGGCCGUGCGUCCGUCUGUGCCCACGUCCGUGCCACCGUCUGGCCGGCCGUGCGUCCGUCUGUGCGUCCGUGCCUACGUUUGGCCGGACGUGCUUCCGUCUGUGCGUCCGUGCCUACGUUUGGCCGGACGUUCAUCUGUCUGUGCCCACGUCCGUGCCUCCGUCUGGCCGGCUGUGUGUGCGUCCGUCCGUCCGUCAGUCCGCCUGUGCGUCCGUGUCUACGUCUGGCCGGACGUGCGUCCGUCUGUGCUUCCAUCUGUCCGUGCCUCCGGCCGGCCAGCUGUCCGUCCGUGUGUGCAUGCCUGCGUCUGUCUGUCCAUUCGUCCGUCCGUCUGUGCGUCAGUCCGUGCCUUCGUCCGGCUGAGCCCAUGUCUGUGCGUCCGUGCGUCUAUCAGUCUGUUUGCCCGCAAAAACAAAAAAACAGUAGGGGGUCUACCAAAAAAAAUGAGUGAUUUUUGAGUGUGUGUGUGUGUGUCUGUAUUUGGUCUCCUAUAGAAUUGACGUAAGAUACUGCUGAUGGUGUUCAAAGUAUUAAAUAGUCUUCCUCCCUGUUACAUCUCUGAUAUGCUCUCUUUUUAUGCCCCUGCCCGAGCUCUCAGAUCCGCUGAUGCCACGCUGCUAAGGAUUCCUACCCUUCCACCAAAGAAAAUUGGUGAAGCCGCCUUCGAUAUGUACGCGCCCAAGAGAUAGAACUCUGCCUCUUGACAUCAGAGACACUACCUCCAUCAACUCGCACAACUCUUUACCCUCGCCUAUUCUUAGCUGCUCAGGCCCUACAGGCUCCACAUGUCGUGCCCUGGUGUGCAAAAUCUGUAGUCAUCUCUCUUCCUUUUAACCCGUGCGUGAUUACAAAGCGUGUGUGUGUGUGUGUGUGUAUGAUUACAAAGCGUGUGUGUGUGGGGGGGGUUAAUAUGUGGUUUGAAGUGUUGGGGGGACACUGACAUUGUUUUUUGUAUUUUUUUUCCUGUCUUUAUCCUUUUUUUCCUUUAUCCUUUUAUUGUCCAUUAUUGUACGUUACAUUUUGCUUUUGUUAAAAGAUAGAAAAAUUAAGGUAAUGAAAAGAAAUGGAAGAAAAAGUAAGAAAUUAUUGGUCCCCCAUAAGGGGGGGUGGGUGGUUGGGUUUAUAAAAAAAAAAGUGUGUGCGCGUGCUAUUACAAAGCGUGUGUGUGUGAGCGAGAGAGAGAUUACAAAGUGUGUGUGUGUGUAUGAUUACAAAGCGUGUGUCUGUGUGUGUGGGGGGGGGUUAAUAUGUGGUUUGAAGUGUUGGGGGGACACUGACAUUGUUUUUUGUAUUUUUUUCGUGUCUUUAUCCUUUUUUUCCUGUAUCCUUUUAUUGUCUAUUAUUGUACGUUACAUUUUGCUUUUGUUAAAAGAUGGAAAAAUUAAGGUAAUGAAAAGAAAUGGAAGAAAAAGUAAGAAAUUAUUGGUCCCCCAUAAGGGGGGGUGGUGGUUGGGUUUAUAAAAAAAAAAAGUCUGUGCGCGCGCACGCACGUGCGAUUACAAAGCGUGUGUGUGUGAUUACAAAGCGUGUGUGUGUGUGUGUGUGUGUGUGUGUGUGUGUGUGUGUGAGCGAGAAAGAUAUUACAAAGUGUGUGUGUGUGUGUGUGUGUGUGAGUGUGCGUGAGUGAUUACAAAGCGUGAAUGUGUUGGCGUCAUGCAGAUGGUUAUUUUUAUUUUACACUUCUACACGUCAUCCCCCAAGCUGUAUUAUUUGCUAUGAUAUUAACCCCUCCUUGCAUCUGCACUUGUUGUUCUGUAUAUUUCCUGUGCUCUUUGUAUUUGCUAUGAUGUGAUGUUGGCUAUGAUUAUGUCUUCUUUGAAAGCCGCUUUGGUUAUAAAGCGUCUGCAAAAUGCAAUGUAAUGUAAAGGUAUAUUAAUAGACAAAUCAUCUGAUCUGCCUUUUCUGUACACCAAUAAAAGGAAA